AUCAAUGAUUGAGGGAACUAAUUUG
rnacentral:piRNA from 1 species